AUUGAACGCUGGCGGCAGGCCUAACACAUGCAAGUCGAACGAGUGGCGGACGUGUGAGUAAUGUCUGGGAAACUGCCUGGGGGAGGGGGAUAACUACUGGGAACGAUAGCUAAUACCGUAUUCCAGAAUAUGGGCCCAGAUGGGAUGAGGGAGGUGGUGGGGUAACGGCUCACCAAGGCGACGAUCCCUAGCUGGUCUGAGAGGAUGACCAGCCACACUGGAACUGAGACACGGUCCAGACUCCUACGGGAGGCAGCAGUGGGGAAUAGUGCACAAUGGGCGAAAGCCUGAUGCAGCCAUGCCGCGUGUAUGAAGAAGGCCUUCGGGUUGUAAAGUACUUUCAGCGGGGAGGCGUUACCCGCAGAAGAAGCACCGGCUAACUCCGUGCCAGCCGCCGCGGUAAUAC
rnacentral:rRNA from 1 species